AGGCAUUGACACAGCUCUCCAAGUUAGUUGAGUCCAGAGUUAGUACAGGCAGAUCCAGAACUUGAAACAUCAGUUCUUUCAGUUUGAGGCUGUGGAUGGCAGCACCUUGGGCCUUUCAUAAAUCUAGGAGCAUUCUACCUAUGUGGGAUUUCACUUGCUGCAACAUUGGAAUUUUGGGUCAAAUUAAGAGGUAGAGAACUUUGGAUUGGUAUGACCAUCUUUUUUAAGUUCAAACAGCAUCCUCCCCCUCUCCCUGUAACUCAUAUUUGUCAAUUUGCACCAGGUUCUAUUUUUUUUCUAAUCUUGUAGCUGAUGAAGUCUCUAGGUUAAUUUUAAUUUUGUUGUUUGGAUUUUGUUCGCAUUUAAUUUUUUUUCAUGUGCUUUGAUGUGAGAAUGCAGAUAGUAAUUUGGGUUUUACUAAAAUUUGAUUAAUAGUAUCAUAACAAGUUGGGGUUGGGGUUGAGUUCCCAUUAGAUAUAAGUUACAUAACUCUACCAUGUGAAGUGCUACUUCAUAAAUCAUAAUCAUUCUUAAGCUUAUUAUGCUGUAUAUAUCUGAUUCAUGUGCAAAAAAGUAGCUUAACUGUCCAUUCAUACCUCAAUUAUAUUCAAUUGCAUGUCAUUAUUCCAUUAUAUCUUUUCUAUUAUUCAAAGGUAAUAAAUCAUAGAACUGUACAAUAAUGUAAAAACAUGAAUUAUGCAGAGUACCUGGUGAUACGUUUUUUAUUUUAUUAGGUGAAAAAUUAACUUCUUAUCAUGAUUAAUUUUAAUAAUAUUUCAGAUAUAUAUUUCUUUAUUGCUGGCUUUUUUAUUUUUUUUUUCCCUAAAUUUUUUGUAUACUGGAUAUGGAAGGGAGCCUUGGAGCAAUGCUUUAAGUUUCUCCAAAUCAUUUCUAGGUCACAGGCUCAAGCUGUGUAAUUAGUCACUACCACUUGCCUUGAGUUAUGUGUUUCUUGGUUCACCGUCGCCGCUCAUUACCGCGCUCACCAAUGUCAAAGAAAUUGUGUGCUCUCUCCCGACCGCUUCUCUGCUCUGCUGUGAAGCAUCAAGGUUUCCGAUGAGUCAAAGCAUCGAUCUCUAACAAGCGAGAGAGAAAUAGA